GCGGGCACAAGCUUUUCCAAUAUGGCGGAGGUGCGACUUGGUUAGCGUUGAACCAAAAUAAUAGAGGGUGAGGAAAAGGGGGCGAUAGCGAUUACAGAGGGCUGGCGAAACAAGCAUCGAAGUUCUGCGCAAUGUCUAACGUGGCUGAUAUCUGUCCACAUUUGGAUUCCAUUGGAGAAAUCACGAGAGAGGAGCUGUUGCAAAAAUCAAAGGGAACAUGCCAAUCCUGUGGAGUUGGUGGACCAAACUUAUGGGCUUGCCUUCAAAAUGGCUGCUCCUAUGUAGGAUGUGGGGAAUCAUAUGUUGACCACAGCACGUUACAUUCACAGUCUAAGAAACAUAACCUGACAGUGAAUUUAACCACAUUCCGAAUUUGGUGUUACGCCUGUGAGAAGGAAGUUUUCCUGGAACAGCGACCUGUUUUACCCAGUCCAGCUCCAUCAAGCAGAUCAACAGAGCAGGACUCUGGCAUAUCACUUGGAAAUCAUCCAUUCAAAAUUGUUCCCAUUGCAGUUGCAGAUGAAGGAGAAUCUGAGUCUGAGGAUGAUGAGUUAAGACCAAGAGGGCUUACAGGAAUGAAGAACAUUGGAAACUCCUGCUACAUGAAUGCUGCACUGCAGGCUUUAUCCAACUGCCCACCACUCACCCAGUUCUUCUUGGAAUGUGUAGGUUUGGUUCGUACAGAUAAAAAGCCAGCUCUUUGUAAAAGCUAUCAGAAGCUUAUCUCUGAACUUUGGCAUAAAAAACGUCCUAGCUAUGUUGUUCCUACAAGUCUCGCCCAUGGCAUUAAGUUAAUUAAUCCAAUGUUCCGAGGUUAUGCACAGCAGGACACGCAGGAAUUCCUCCGGUGUUUGAUGGAUCAACUACAUGAAGAACUUAAGGAGCCCUUGAUAGAGAGAGACUGUGAUUCCUCAAGUGACACAGAGGAAAAGCGAGACGGCGACAGGAGUCCUUCAGAGGACGAAUUUCUAUCCUGUGAUUCUGGUGCCAGCAGCGAUAAAGGGGAAGGGGAAAACAGAAACAAAUGUAACUCUGACAAGCAGAUUGAAACAGAGCUGCUGAUCCAGGAUGAAUGUGGAAAAGGAAUUUCUGAAAAAGAGAGGCAAAAGGACAGAAAAUUUUCAUGUGGACACCACAGGCUGGGAUUAGUGGAUGCAAUCGAUGAAGAUGCAGAUGUGGAUACAUCUUUAAAUUCAAGUGAUCCUGGAGGUGCUGGUGAUGCCAGAGCUAGUAUGGUUUCUAAUAGUCCUUGCAGAACACCAGAACCUGACAAUGAUGUGAACAUGCGACGCACAUCACGAUCUUGCAGCCCUAUUCAUCAAGAACUUCAUUCCAAGUUGUCCAGCAGCCCACAUCGAUCGAGUCCAAUGAGGGCAGUGCCACCGUUUUCCCUGAAGAAAGCACAACUCCUGUUGUCUACCAAGAAGAAAAAGCAACCCAAGUAUCGCAGUGUAAUUUCUGAUAUCUUUGAUGGGUCGAUAUUGAGCCUGGUCCAGUGUCUCACCUGUGACAGAAUUUCGUCCACAGUGGAAACAUUUCAGGAUUUAUCUUUGCCAAUCCCUGGUAAAGAGGACCUGGCUAAACUGCAUGCAUCCAUUCACCAAACCUUGCCUGUAAAAAGUGGAACCUGCAGCGAUGCCUACACUACACAAGGAUGGGUGGCAUUCAUUAUGGAUUAUAUUAGAAGGUUUGUUGUGUCCUGUAUCCCAAGCUGGUUUUGGGGUCCUGUUGUGACAAUAGAAGAUUGUUUAGCUGCCUUUUUUGCUGCUGAUGAACUGAAAGGUGACAACAUGUACAGCUGUGAAAAAUGCAAAAAGUUAAGGAAUGGAGUCAAGUAUUGUAAAGUCCUUAAACUUCCAGAGAUUCUUUGUGUUCAUUUGAAACGCUUUCGCCAUGAAGUGAUGUAUUCCUUUAAAGUAAAUAGCCACGUGUCUUUCCCACUGGAAGGCCUCGAUCUUCGACCCUUCCUCUCAAAGGAGAGCCCUUCUCAAAUUACAACCUAUGAUCUUUUAUCAGUUAUCUGUCAUCACGGGACUGCAGGCAGUGGCCAUUAUAUAGCCUACUGCCAGAAUGUGAUUAAUGGUCAGUGGUACGAAUUUGAUGACCAGUAUGUCACUGAAGUCCAUGAGACAGUUGUACAGAAUGCUGAGGCUUAUGUCCUUUUCUACAGAAAGAGUAGUGAGGAAGCAGUGCGUGAGAGACAAAAGGUCGUAGCUUUGGCCAACUUGAAGGAACCCAGCCUCCUCCAAUUCUACAUCUCCAGAGAGUGGUUAAAUAAAUUUAACACCUUUACUGAACCAGGGCCAAUCACAAACCACACCUUCCUUUGUUUACAUGGAGGUAUUCCUCCAAAUAAAUACCAUUACAUUGAUGAUCUGGUAGUAAUUCUUCCCCAAAAUGUUUGGGAAUAUCUCUACAAUAGGUUUGGUGGUGGCCCUUCUGUGAACCAUUUAUACAUCUGUUCCAUUUGCCAAGUAGAAAUUGAGGCACUUGCUAAAAGGAGGAAAAUGGAAGUAGACACUUUUAUAAAGCUAAACAAAGCGUUCCAGGCUGAGGAAUCCCCCUGUGUUAUAUACUGCAUUAGUAUGCAGUGGUUCCGUGAAUGGGAAGGUUUUGUUAAAGGCAAAGACAAUGAGCCUCCUGGUCCAAUAGAUAAUAGCAAAAUUGCAGUCAUUAAAGGUGGCCAUGUCCAACUAAAACAAGGUGCAGAUUAUGGUCAGAUUUCUGAAGAAACGUGGAACUAUUUGUUUACUAUCUAUGGUGGUGGACCAGAAAUUGCCAUGCGGCAGAACAUUAUUCAAGCUGAUUUGGACAGCCCACAAGGAGAGAGGAAAAUAGAAGCCGAAACUCGUGCUGUGUGAUGAUAGAGCUGGCUUAAAGUAACCAGUUGAAAGGCUAUGAUACUGAGAUGAAGGUUGUGAAAACUGCAACUUUUGCACCUGUGAUGAAUCUUUAUUCCAUUUGCUUUCAUAAGAUCACUUGUGAAUGCUUUGAAACUGACGAUGUGUAAUCAGAGUGCGUAACUAAUUUAUCCCAAAUAUGUUGAGGAAAAUCCUCAAAGCUUUUUACAAAGUAUGCUGAAGUUUCUGAAGAUUUCACUAUGAUCGAAGUUUGCUACUCCAGCUAUAAAAUGGAAUGUGUAUUAUUUACAUUGGCCAGAUUUUGCUGAUUUUAAUAUCAUAACCUGCUACCUUGGCCCCAUUGUAAAAGUGGAAAUAAUCUGCUGUAACCUUUACCUUGUGUAGUGAUUGCAAAAUGGAUAUUUAAAUUAUUCUCACAAAUAUAAACCUAGUAUAGAGUUUCAUUAUUGCUUCAUAAGUAAUGCAGGUCUAAGUGCACACGAUAUUUAAAUAAAGUGAAAUAAGUGGCAUGAAUAGUUUUGUUUAAUUCCUUGUUUCUUUUUAUAUGCUUUGAACUAUAAAUAACAUGACUAAAUUUUAUCAAAAUUAUGAGAAUAGUUUUAGUUCAUUGUUAGCAUUUUCUCAAGUUUAUUACCCAUUAUUUUUGAUAUUCACAGAAAGUGCUGUUAUUCGAGCAUAACUGUUUUACCUGCUGCAUGCAUUUGCUGAUGGGCAGAUUGUUUUAAAUCCAUCUAUUCUAAUCAAUACAAUAAAUAUUGAUAAUUUGCA